UUUUCCUGCACUGGACGUAAAAUAGCCCCUGGGCUGCUGAUUUCCCCCAACUCACACUCAGUACACAACCUGACAGAGUGACACAAAAACACUUGGCUGAAUCUUCCUGGGCAGACCAGGACUUAGCUGGCACCCCAGGAACAUCUGCUCCUCAGAAAGUCCCAAAGCGAAGAACAGAUGGUCGUAUGAAGAAUCCAAACUCAAAUGGGGAGGGAACCAGGAAACUGCCAUAUCAGGAGAUUCUGAAACAUAGGCUGUAUCUGGGGAAGGCUGUACCCCUCAUGGCAUUCAGCCAAUGAACUGGAAACAGGGGAAAGGACUUACGUGCUAGGGAUACAUUACUCACUGUAACUGCCCUGUUGUGUGUCUUCUUGCAUAGCAGACGCCCAGUCUUGCAAGACUGAAUUAAAGCCUCACUUUUGCCGUUC